UACCGCGUGGGGCGAGGAAGGCUCUUGGGUUGUAAACCCCUUUUAUCAGGGAAGAAUCAAUGACGGUACCUGAUGAAUCAGCCUCGGCUAACUCCGUGCCAGCAGCCGCGGUAAUACGGAGGAGGCAAGCGUUAUCCGGAAUUAUUGGGCGUAAAGAGUCCGUAGGUGGUGGGGCAAGUCGGCGGUUAAA
rnacentral:rRNA from 1 species